rnacentral:rRNA from 1 species
UGAGGAAUAUUGCGCAAUGGGCGAAAGCCUGACGCAGCGACACCGCGUGAAGGAUGAAGGCUUUAGGGUCGUAAACUUCUGUUAAGUGGGAAGAAAGACGUAGUCCUAAUACGACUACGGAAUGACGGUACCACUAGAGAAAGCACCGGCUAACUUCGUGCCAGCAGCCGCGGUAAGACGAGGGGUGCGAACGUUAUUCGGAAUGAUUGGGCGUAAAGGGUGCGUAGGCGGUCUGUUAAGUCAACUGUUAAAUUUCUCAGCUUAACUGGGAGUAUGCGGUAGAAACUGGCAAACUAGAGGAUGGAAGAGAGAAGUAGAAUUCUCGGAGUAGCGGUAAAAUGCGUAGAUCUCGAGAGGAACACCGAUGGCGAAGGCAGCUUCUUAGCCCAUUUCUGACGCUGAGGCACGAAAGCGUGGGGAGCAAACAGG